UUGGAGGGCAAGUCUGGUGCCAGCAGCCGCGGUAAUUCCAGCUCCAAUAGCGUAUAUUAAAGUUGUUGCAGUUAAAAAGCUCGUAGUUGAAUUUCGGGGUCAGAUUGUCGGUCGAGCCUCGGUACGCACUGGUAUUAUUGGUUCCUACCUUCUGAAGAACCGCGAUGUCAUUAAUUUGGUGUCGUGGGGAAUCAGGACUGUUACUUUGAAAAAAUUAGAGUGUUUAAAGCAGGCUUACGCUUGAAUACAUUAGCAUGGAAUAAUGAAAUAGGACGUUUGAUUCUAUUUUGUUGGUUUCUAGGAUUGACGUAAUGAUUAAUGGGGAUAGUUGGGGGCAUUAGUAUUCAAUUGUCAGAGGUGAAAUUCUUGGAUUUAUUGAAGACUAACUACUGCGAAAGCAUUUGCCAAGGAUGUUUUCAUUAAUCAAGAACGAAAGUUAGGGGAUCGAAGACGAUCAGAUACCGUCGUAGUCUUAACCAUAAACUAUGCCGACUAGGGAUCGGACGAUGUUAAAUUUUAUUGACUCAUUCGGCGCCUUACGGGAAAC
rnacentral:rRNA from 1 species